rnacentral:rRNA from 1 species
UACAGAGGUCCCAAGCGUUGUUCGGAUUCACUGGGCGUAAAGGGUGCGUAGGCGGUCGGGUAAGUCUGAUGUGAAAUCUCACAGCUUAACUGUGAAACUGCAUUGGAUACUAUCCGGCUAGAGGAGUGGAGGGGAGACUGGAAUACUUGGUGUAGCAGUGAAAUGCGUAGAUAUCAAGUGGAACACCAGUGGCGAAGGCGAGUCUCUGGACAUUUCCUGACGCUGAGGCACGAAAGCCAGGGGAGCAAACGGG